AUUGACCGCUGGAGGCAGGCCUAACACAUGCAAGUCGAACGAGUGGCGGACGGGUGAGUAAUGUCUGGGAAACUGCCUGAUGGAGGGGGCUAACUACUGGAAACGGUAGCUAAUACCGCAUACCAUCGGAUGUGCCCAGCUGGGCUUAGCUAGUAGGUGGGGUAAAGGCUAACCUAGGCGACGAUCCCUAGCUGGUCUGAGAGGAUGACCAGCCCAACUGGAACUGGGACACGGUCCAGACUCCUACGUGAGGCAGCAGUGGGGAAUAUUGGACAAUGGGCGAAAGCCUGAUCCAGCCAUGCCGCGUGUGUGAAGAAGGUCUUCGGAUUGUAAAGCACUUUAAGUUGGGAGGCGUUACCAACAGAAUAAGCACCGGCUAACUUCGUGCCAGCAGCCGCGGUAAUUC
rnacentral:rRNA from 1 species